UUCCUGCUUAUCCAUAGAAUCUUAUGUAGGGAAACUAUGUGGCCGUGAUAGUGAUUGCAAGCUAGAUCCAAACUUUCUUGCUCAGUACUCAUGCUCAUGUUCGUGUCCAUGCAGAAAAAAUCAAGGACAGCAAUGUCGGCCUCCCUAAGCUCCCGGUGGUGGUUUCCUUGCCUGGGCUGCUGGCGUUGGCGUUCCACAUGGAGCAAAAACUAGUGUCUUCCAGGAGAAGGACAAUGAGCCAACGUUGUUCCUCCAGAUGCGCUGCCUCCGUGACAUGCAGCGCUGACCUGCUGCUGCUCUUUUCCAACAGCAACGACGAUGUCAACAAUGAAUCCAAGGCGGUAGUGAUGGCACGAGUGGGGUUACAGGAUGGGCAGCUUGUCCAAGACGGCGCCCUGCCAAUUACUUCCUCCACUCGAAUACUAGGGACAAGAACGACUACAACGGAUAGGUAGUACUUAUCUGUGCUGUGACGAAUGGACUAAUGAAUGAGCUGAUUUGAUUGAUAGUUUUUUCGUGUUCUCUGGAUGAAAUCUCAUUGUGGAUGAUUAGUUCAUUGGCUGAGCUGAAACCUUGCACUCGUCUGUGUACAGGUGUUCUAUGUUUACAUUUUAGAUUUAUAUGGUGUUUCCUUAGAUCGGAAUCAUGCGUCUGCAUGUGUUGUGCAACAGUGAACUAAUUAUCCUUGUGUACUUGACGAAUUAAUAUGUAUACAUGGAUAUGAUCAAUUUGUAUCUAUGUAUGCACCUUGUAUCUACAUGAAUUCUUUUGUAUUAAAAUGUGGCGGACUUUUUGACAAUGUGGGUGCCAUUUGAGCAUUCUUGUUUGCUACCCUGUUUUUGCAUUCUGCUUUAUAGAAUAGCAAGCUCCUCUAUGAUUAUAAGUAUCAUCAUAAGGUUAUAAAUAGAGCUAUACUAUUUAUCUAUUCUUUUUUCUUGCUUCAUAAUCACUUUAUUGAUUUAAUGUGCAAUUCUAUGAUAUUUUCUUUCUUUUACUUAUAUUUCCAUCUAUCUUAACUGCAAGUUGUAGAAGCCUGAGAGCAUAGGAGGCAGCAGGCUGAUGCAUGACUGGUGGGUGGCCUUCUUCUGCGACUCUGCGGUUUUUUGGAUAUUGUCUACUGAUGUUGUUGAUGGUAUAAUUAUUUUACGUUGGUAACUAGGCAUUCAUGAUUAAUUUUAGAUUUCUGGUUGUGAAAUUAAGAUUGGAUAUGAUAUUUGUGUACAGAAAUGAGGAAUGUUUUACUAAACUGACAUGAUAUUGUUUAGUACUAGGGGAGGUAUGCCACAUACACAUUGGAAGUCUAAUGCACUGUUUGAUGUGUAAGAGAUGAGGACGCAUCUCCUCUUGUCUCCAAGUUGAAUUGAAUAGAUUUGGUUCCAUCUUUAAUAUGGUGGAAUAUUUUGAUAUAUUGGGGCAUUUCUUUGUUUUCUUAACUACUUGCUAAUGUAUGAUGUAUCAUAACACCCUUAUGCAAGUGACUGGAGUUUUAAGCCCUCAUAAUUCAGCCUUAUGUUCCUUGCUAUUCUAGUUCGCAAAAACUCCAUGGACUGAUUCCUAUAACACUAAUAUGAUAAGCCUUCUACAGAAAAUACAAGUGUUCUUUUAUAUUAUGGUUUUAUGAUCUUUUUUAGACCUCAUCUAUCUUUUACUUAAUGCUUUGGAUCAGACAAAGUCAUCUCACUACUCUCUUGUAUAUUAUUAGGCCCUUCGAU